CACAUAUUCCCUCCGUCCUAAAAUUCUUGUCUUAGGUUUGUCUAAAAAUGAAUGUAUCUAAAUACUAAAAUAUGACUAGAUACACUCAUAUUUAGACAAAUCUAAGAAAAGAAUUUUGGGAUGAAGGAAGUAUUUG
rfam:Hordeum vulgare subsp. vulgare, WGS project CAJW01000000 data, contig: morex_contig_46240